AUACGUAGGGAGCGAGCGUUGUCCGGAAUUACUGGGCGUAAAGGGCGCGUAGGCGGCGCUUCAAGUCGUCUGUCAAAUGGGAGGGCUUAACCCUUUUUCGCAGACGAAACUGGAGAGCUUGAGAAGCAGAGAGGCAGACAGAAUUCCUGGUGUAGCGGUGAAAUGCGUAGAUAUCAGGAAGAAUACCAGUGGCGAAGGCGGUUUGCUGGCUGCAUAAUGACGCUGAAGCGCGAAAGCCAGGGGAGCAAACGGGAUUAGAUACCCCGGUAGUCCUGGCAGUAAACGAUGUAUGCUGGGUGUGAGACUAGCGAUAGUUUCGUGCCGAAGUUAACGCGAUAAGCAUACCGCCUGGGGAGUACGGUCGCAAGAUUGAAACUCAAAGGAAUUGACGGGG
rnacentral:rRNA from 1 species